rnacentral:rRNA from 1 species
UACAGAGGUCUCAAGCGUUGUUCGGAUUCAUUGGGCGUAAAGGGUGCGUAGGUGGCUUGGUAAGUCGGAUGUGAAAUCCCGGGGCUCAACCCCGGAACUGCAUUCGAUACUGCCAGGCUGGAGUACUGGAGAGGAGAUUGGAAUUUACGGUGUAGCAGUGAAAUGCGUAGAUAUCGUAAGGAAGACCAGUGGCGAAGGCGGGUCUCUGGACAGUUCCUGACGCUGAGGCACGAAGGUCAGGGGAGCAAACGGG